ensembl:lncRNA
UCCUUCUUCUUCUCUUCCUUCUUCUUCUUCUUCUUCUUAUUGCGCACUAUGAGAGUUCUUCAUAGUCAACUAUGUCAACUUUCUCAUAGUCAACUUUUUGAUUGCAUCAAAAAAAACAAUGCACAUGUAUGUCCAACUUAAGUAAUAAGGCCCGAGGAGGUGUGGUAUAUGGCCAAUAUACCACGGCUAAGGACUGUUCGUGUGCACAACGCAUUGCGGAAUUCCUGGCCCUUAGCCGUGCUAUAUCUGUAUUGGCCAUAUACCACAACCUCCCCGAGGGGUCUUAUUGCUAUUAUAAACUGGUUACCAACGUAACUAGAGCAGUUAAAACCUAUACCCAUGGUAUAGGGUCUGAUAUACCAUGGCUGUCAGCCAAUCAGCAUUUAGGGCUCGAACCGCCUAGUUUAUAAUCUAAUAUAGUACAAUAUUGCAUUUACAGUUACUGUAAAUUAAAAUAAGUUAAAUUUAUAAAUGAGCACAUCCUCAGCGUGUGAGGGAAUUGAGUUAGCCUACGUCCCAAAUGGCACCCUAUUCCCUGUAUACUGUACUACUGUUGACCAGAGCCCUUUUGGGCCCGGUUUAAAAGUAGUGUACUAUAUAAGGAACAGGGUACUAUUUGGGAUGCUUCCCAAGUCACUUCAGGAGUUAACUUUUAAGUGCCUACUUUGUCAGCCAGACGAUCAUGAUCACCCUAAAUGAAAUGUUAAAUGAUGACUAGUCAACAUAGGUAAAAGGGGGAGACCUAGUCAGUUGCACAACUGAAUGCAUUGAACUGAAAUGUGUCUUCCGCAUUUAACCCUCUGAAUCAGGGGUGGCUGGGUAGCCUAGUGGUUAGAACGUUGGGCAAGUAACCGAAAUCUAUCGUUCUGCCCCUGAACAAGGCAGUUAACCCACUGUUCCCCGGUAGGCCGUCAUUGUAAAUAAGAAUUUGUUGUUAACCGACUUGCCUCGUUAAAUUUUUAAAACAUCUGAGAGGUGCAAGGGGCUGCCGUCGUCUAGGGAACAGUUGUUGUUGGGGCUUUAACUAUUUUUCCAACUUACCACUUUUAUUAUGAUGGUAUCUUGUGUGAUUUGCUAUUUAUAGUAUUAUAAUGUGUUUGGCCAAAUGUGGCGCCUAGUAAUAUCAUUGUGUGAUUUUCCUCAAAAGAAAUGUGGAAACCUUUUUUUUCUUCCUCAAAGACUUUGCACCAAAACAUUUUUAUUCAGAGAACAAGACCAUGUCAAAAUCCUAAAUUAUUCAUUGUCUCCAACCUGUUGGUGAAACAACUCGGGCCACGUCCAAAUCAGACCCCCCAAAUUCGCCACAAUAUUUAUUGCUGAGAAAUACAACGUCUUUCAAAUGUUAUAAUUUUGAAUUUCUGAAUAUUUAGUGACUCAUUAUGAUACAAUCCCCUGUUAACCCUCAUUCAUUCUGUAAAUAUUGGGUACUUUUGUUGUAGAUUUAUGGUCCGUUUGUACUCUUAUGAAGCCAGAUCUGUGCAUGUGUACGGUGCCCAGUCCUGCUACAAACACAUUGGUAUGUUUCUUUAUAAGAUAAAGAGACUGCUACUCUCCUAGCCUGGUUAAACCAAACUGAAUGAAGUACUCACUAUGGUAAAUGUAGCAUUCACACUGGUUUAACCAGGCUACUAUUUUCCUCUUCUGCUAAGGUUGUAUCUCAAAUGGCACCCUAAUUCCCCUUUAGUGUGCCCUGGUCAAAAUGUGUGCACUAAAUAAGGAAUAGAGUGCCAUUUGGGAUGCACUCUUAAGACAAUACCUUGGUCCCACCUCUGUGCUGUCUUGACAACUCCUAUGGUCAUUGUCACAGAGGCAAGACGACACAACCAGAUCUGGGUCCAGGCUAGUUAAACAACACUAAGUAUGCAUGCCCGAUGCCAGACAGAUGUGUAAAUGACCGUAGAUUUGAAGUAAUGUAGGACGUGGUGCUUUGUGUGCCAUGUCCAAUACAGGCAAGUUACUAAGCCCUGUCAUAUACUUCCUCCACCCCCCAACCCCCCCGAAAAGUCAAGUUGGACACGUAGCCAAUAUGUAUGUCUGUUUUUUCAGCUCUGCUUUGAGUUAACUUAUGAGCACAAUGUUGUGUUUCCUGUUGGAACUGUGAUCAUUACUGUCAUCACUGUGUGUGUUUUCAUGGCUGAGGGCUGCCAGAGUUAGUCUUUUUGGUGCUAAUAUGAAAUACAGCUACUGUACAUUGCAUUUGAGUAAUGACAACAGUCUGCCAGUAGAGGGCAGUGCUCUAGUAAUGACAACACUCUGCCAGUAGAGGGCAGUGUCCUGAUGAAAUAAUGUGGUACAUUGGUUGAAUUGAAAUAUAGCUGUGUAUUGCUAUAAGUAUUUAUUUUAACGUGUGCUAAAAACAAAGAAAGUUUAAAGAAGCUUUGAAAACCAGGUUCUCUGUCCUAAAUCUGAAUCCUAGACAUAUGGAUGUAAUGUUCUGGCCUUUGUAACGUGUGUCCCAAAGCUAGUUUUACCCUGCUGGAUCCACAAGCUACUGACAAUCUAAUCCGCGUCCCAAAUGGCAUCCUAUUGCCUACAUAGUGCACUACUUUACCAGGCUCCAUAGGACUUUGGUCAAAAGUAGUGCACUAUAUAGGGUUCAAUUUGGGACACUGCGUAAGGGUUCGAUUCAGGAAGAGUCAUAGACCUUUAUAGACAUGGCUGUGAGUUCAGGUUUCAUAGAGGAGGGGCAAAUCUCUGAAUCUGUUUGUUUUUUAAUCUGCUUGUGUCUGUUUUUUUUUUUGACCAUUCAUUUGAAGGCCGGUAUUCAAUGCAAGACGUAUUGUAGUGCGUCUCACUACACAAUUCACCUUUUCCACAGCGUUCGCUGAGAUCGCUGUGCAUUUCGGCUUAAGCACGACCAUGACCUUUCCUACAUGUCUGUUCUAGUGGGCUGUACUAUAACGUGCCUUGGAUUGAGUCCCUGGACAAACUGUGUCAAGUCUAUUACGGUAUUUUGAUACUGUAAUGAAUCGUCUGGCUUCUGCCAUCUGUUUAACAGCUGCUGUAAAUAAAACCACCUU